rnacentral:rRNA from 1 species
GAGGACAAAACAGGUUUCUAGGUAUUGUUAUAAGGUAUCUGCACCUGAAUAAAAUAGGGUGUAAGAAGCGAACGCAGGGAACUGAAACAUCUAAGUACCUGCAGGAAAGGACAUCAACCGAGACUCCGCAAGUAGUGGCGAGCGAACGCGGACCAGGCCAGUGGCAAUUGUGAUUAAAGUGGAACGCUCUGGAAAGUGCGGCCGUAGUGGGUGACAGCCCCGUACGCGUAGAUAUCAUGAUUGUCCUAGAGUAGGGCGGGACACGAGAAAUCCUGUCUGAACAUGGGGAGACCACUCUCCAAGCCUAAGUACUCGUGCAUGACCGAUAGCGAACAAGUACCGUGAGGGAAAGGUGAAAAGCACCCCGACAAGGGGAGUGAAAUAGAACCUGAAACCGGAUGCCUACAAACAGUCGGAGGGGGCAACCCUGACGGCGUACCUUUUGUAUAAUGGGUCAACGACUUAGUGUA